GCCUUGACUCUUGAAGCUAGAGUGGUGGUAGUUAGCAGCAAACGCGUACGGCACACAUUUCACAUUUGACAAUUUUAAAACUUAAUAUUUUACAGCUAUACAUACAGAUCACCCCCAUCUAUAUAUAUGACUAUAAAAAUUGACUCACCCAGCUCGGUCAACGGCAACUCAAAACCCUAGAUUCGCCAGAAUGCUUAGAGGUAAGCAGCCAUCGCCGCCGCCGCCACGCUCCGGUGAACUGAAGCACCAAGACAGGCCACAGCCACCGGAGAAACCAGAUCCCGAUACACCUCCACCGCCGCCCCCACAACGCCCACCGCCUUCCACCGCCGUAUUAGUGCGUCCACCACCACCUCCACCAGCGGGGUAUUAACUACGAGGAUUGUAAAUGUCUUGCAGUGCUAAUUACUGCUGUCAAAUGGUGUUUAAAUUAAAUAUUUCUUCACUGCAAUAUUAUCAUUAUUUAAUUCCGCACAACUCUCAAUAUAUAUUCGGCUAGGAAUCUUUGAUUAAGCUUUAUUAUGUUUGGGUUUGGGCUCAUAAUUAUUGGGCUAAUGCCCACUUGUACUUGAAAUAAAUCAAGAUUGCCUACAUCCUACUCAUAGUAGGCAUAUCUAAUAAUGUGUAAUUUAAAAAAUAAAUAAAAAAUUAAAAUCGAAUUAUGAAUAUUCGU